UAAAGAUUCAUCGCUGAUAGAUAGGCAUGCGUUCCAUUAGGCAGUUGGCGGGGUAACGGCCCACCAAACCGACGAUGGAUAGGGGUUCUGAGAGGAAGGUCCCCCACAUUGGUACUGAGACACGGACCAAACUCCUACGGGAGGCAGCAGUGAGGAAUAUUGGUCAAUGGGCGUAAGCCUGAACCAGCCAAGUCGCGUGAGGGAUGAAGGUUCUAUGGAUCGUAAACCUCUUUUAUAAGGGAAUAAAGUGCGGGACGUGUCCCGUUUUGUAUGUACCUUAUGAAUAAGGAUCGGCUAACUCCGUGCCAGCAGCCGCGGUAAUACGGAGGAUCCGAGCGUUAUCCGGAUUUAUUGGGUUUAAAGGGUGCGUAGGCGGCCUUUUAAGUCAGCGGUGAAAGUCUGUGGCUCAACCAUAGAAUUGCCGUUGAAACUGGGAGGCUUGAGUAUGUUUGAGGCAGGCGGAAUGCGUGGUGUAGCGGUGAAAUGCUUAGAUAUCGCGCAGAACCCCGAUUGCGAAGGCAGCCUGCCAAGCCAUGACUGACGCUGAUGCACGAAAGCGUGGGGAUCAAACAGGAUUAGAUACCCUGGUAGUCCACGCAGUAAACGAUGAUCACUAGCUGUUUGCGAUACACAGUAA
rnacentral:rRNA from 1 species